GGGAAUAUGGUUCAGUGGUAGAGUGCUUGCCUAGCAUGCAUGAGGCCCUGGGUUCGAUUCCUCAGUACCA
rnacentral:tRNA from 1 species